rnacentral:tRNA from 1 species
ACCUGGUUGGUGUAGUGGUCAAGACACUCGUCUGAUAAUCAGGAGGACUUGGGUUCAAGCCCAGCCGAGGUA